GGCUCAGAUUGAACGCUGGCGGCAGGCUUAACACAUGCAAGUCGAGCGGAGUUGUGGUGCUUGCACCAUAACUUAGCGGCGGACGGGUGAGUAAUAUAUCGGAACGUGCCCAGUCGUGGGGGAUAACGUAGCGAAAGUUACGCUAAUACCGCAUACGAUCUACGGAUGAAAGCGGGGGACUCGCAAGAGCCUCGCGCGAUUGGAGCGGCCGAUAUCAGAUUAGGUAGUUGGUGGGGUAAAGGCUCACCAAGCCAACGAUCUGUAGCUGGUCUGAGAGGACGACCAGCCACACUGGAACUGAGACACGGUCCAGACUCCUACGGGAGGCAGCAGUGGGGAAUUUUGGACAAUGGACGCAAGUCUGAUCCAGCCAUUCCGCGUGCAGGAUGAAGGCCCUCGGGUUGUAAACUGCUUUUGUACGGAACGAAAAGGUUUCUAUUAAUACUAGGAGCUCAUGACGGUACCGUAAGAAUAAGCACCGGCUAACUACGUG
rnacentral:rRNA from 1 species